UGCCCAGCAACUCCUAUCACUGCCUCCUCGUGGUACUGGCCGGGGUACGAGUAACUUUAGAGAAGAUCGGAUGACCAACCCCGGUUGGAACUUUGGUCGUAUGUUAACAGUGGAGGG
rnacentral:ribozyme from 1 species